UACAGAGGGGGCAAGCGUUGUUCGGAAUCACUGGGCGUAAAGGGCGCGUAGGCGGCGUGGUAAGUCAGAUGUGAAAUCCCGGGGCUCAACCCCGGAACUGCAUCCGAUACUGCCGUGCUCGAGGGUUGGAGAGGUAGCUGGAAUUAUCGGUGUAGCAGUGAAAUGCGUGGAUAUCGAUAGGAACACUCGUGGCGAAGGCGAGCUACUGGACAACAUCUGACGCUGAGGCUCGAAGGCCAGGGGAGCAAAAGGG
rnacentral:rRNA from 1 species